rnacentral:rRNA from 1 species
AUACGGAAGGUCCGGGCGUUAUCCGGAUUUAUUGGGUUUAAAGGGAGCGCAGGCGGAGAUGCAAGCGUGACGUCAAAUUUCGGGGCUCAACCCCGUCUCGCGUCGCGAACUGCGUCCCUUGGUUGCGGGAAGGGGAGGCGGAACUCGUGGUGUAGCGGUGAAAUGCAUAGAUAUCACGAAGAACUCCGAUCGCGAAGGCAGCCUUCCGGCCCGUCAACGACGCUCAUGCUCGAAGGUGCGGGUAUCAAACAGGAUUAGAUACCCUGGUAGUCCGCACAGUAAACGAUGGACACCCGCGGUUUGGCCUGUAUGGCUGAGCCGCCAAGCGAAAGCGUUAAGUGCCCCACCUGGGGAGUACGCCGGCAACGGUGAAACUCAAAUGAAUUGACGGGG